CUGUCUCCACCCGAGACUCAGUGAAAUUGAAAUCGCUGUGAAGAUGCAGUGUAUCCGCGGCUAGACGGAAAGACCCCGUGAACCUUUACUGUAGCUUUGCACUGGACUUUGAGCCUGCUUGUGUAGGAUAGGUGGGAGGCUUUGAAGCGUGGACGCCAGUUCGCGUGGAGCCAUCCUUGAAAUACCACCCUGGCAUGCUUGAGGUUCUAACUCUGGUCCGUAAUCCGGAUCGAGGACAGUGUAUGGUGGGCAGUUUGACUGGGGCGGUCUCCUCCUAAAGAGUAACGGAGGAGUACGAAGGUGCGCUCAGACCGGUCGGAAAUCGGUCGUAGAGUAUAAAGGCAAAAGCGCGCUUGACUGCGAGACAGACACGUCGAGCAGGUACGAAAGUAGGUCUUAGUGAUCC
rnacentral:rRNA from 1 species